rnacentral:lncRNA from 1 species
GUUCGAGAUAUUAGCCAAGUGAGCACUUUAGUCCUGUCUUGCUUCAGCUUUUAUUCUUCCUGCACAUUGUAUGAAAUCAUCUCAUUUAGAGUCCACUUUUCUUUUUGACAGUUGUAACUGACCUUGAAUUGAUUGUAUUGUCAGGAAGAGAAAUCAAAACCAAAUGCACGAGCAAAUCAUUAGAUAGUUCAAACUUUAGUACCUCCAAUUUUGAAGUAAUAUGAGACACCUCCAUUAUGUACU